CAAUAGCGUAUAUUAAAGUUGUUGCGGUAAAAAAGCUCGUAGUUGGAUUUCUACCGAAGAUAGCCGGUCGGGUCUUCGACCUUGUAUCUGGUUUUGUCUUUGGUAUCCUCAUAGGGAACGUUUCUGCGCUUUAUUGCGUGGUGCGGUACCUAUGACUUUUACUUUGAGGAAAUUAGAGUGUUCACGGCAGGCAAACGCCUUGAAUAUAUUAGCAUGGAAUAAUAACAUAGGAUCUUCGUCCUAUUUUGUUGGUUUCUAGGGCUAAGAUAAUGAUUAAUAGGGAUAAUUGGGGGCAUCUGUAUCAACGCGUCAGAGGUGGAAUUCUUGGAUUGCGUUGCGACAAACUACUGCGAAAGCAUUUGCCAAGGAUGUUUUCAUUGA
rnacentral:rRNA from 1 species